AUGAACUACAUUCAUGCAUACGGCUUCUGGAGUUUCUCUAACCAGGAAACCCAGCAGGAGUCACAACACAGAAAGAGGAGGAGGAGGAAGAAGAGAGAGAAACAGAAAACUAAAAACCCUGAAGGAUGGUUCUCAAAAAUUCUAAAGGAACCACAGGGAAUUCCUUUUAAGAGCAAGAGAAAGCCAGCCAGCUGAGAUUUCAGAAUUGCCAUCCUCCCUGCCAACAUGUCAUGAACAAGAAAAAAAAGAUUGCAUGAAAAAUCUAAUGGGUGUCUGGUCUGAUUGUCCUCACUCGUGGCAGGAAAGACAAAAACUGAUGAAUUGUGAAAUGUAUUCAGAGGGAUUCAAGAAAAGCAAGUGUCUAGGACCCCCUCCUCACCAACACCUCCUCGUUUUCAUCUUGUUAUGCUUGAUGCACCAUACAUGCUUGCCCUGACACUUGGGUUUGUAGAAAUUUAAGAUUAACAGUUUUUACAAUCACCCCGCUGAUCCCCUUUUUUUAAAGUCGUCAUUAAAAAUAAAGUUAGCAGGGCUCGUAUUUAGCA
rnacentral:lncRNA from 1 species